CCUUUGUACACACCGCCCGUCGCUACUACCGAUUGAAUGGCUCAGUGAGGCGUCCGGACUGGCCCAGAGAGGCGGGCAACUGCCACUCCGAGCCGGAAAGCUCUCCAAACUCGGUCAUUUAGAGG
rnacentral:rRNA from 1 species